ensembl:lncRNA
CUUUCUGUGCAGUCAGCUAAAAGCAGUGGUCUGUCCCACUGGCUUUGCAUUGUAGCUAUUUGUUGCCAGUCAUCUUUGCAGCCAUCUUUGAGAUCUUGUUGGCCAUUCUUCUUCCGUGUGUUUCUGGCAUUCUUUCAGGGUUUUCUUCCCUGUGUUGUCAUGAACUCAGGUCUUUCUUGCUGGCCUCUUCUGCAUCAAUAUUCCUGACUUUGCCAGCCCCUUUCCAUCACGGGUGGUGGCGUUUAACUCUCUUCUGGGCUCGUCCAGAGCAUCGGAGCCACAUGGUUGUGGCCUCAUAGGGCUUUCUGGCUGGCAGUGUCUUAUGUGUAGGAAUAGUUUUUUUUGUGUAGGGUUUUCCUUUGUGUCUGUGUCUGAUAUUUGUGUGUCUGUCUGUUUGGUGCUGGAGCUGCCUUGCUUGUGGGUUUUAGCUMUGGUAGUGUGCAGAGGAGAGUAGUGAUGGAAUGGUGAUUAGUCAGCAUCUGUGUGCUCCACUUUAUGUUGUGUGUGUGUUUUGUUAUAUAUUUUUUUUUGUAGAUGUGGCACAGCAGUUGGAGUGCCUGAGGGAGAUGGAGGAAGAAAGGGUCAUGCCCUAGGAAGGUGUGGAGGAAUGUGGAGAGUGGGUCGUUUGCGUGUGGGAGGAGCACGGCAAGGUGAGUGUCGGUCUGAGAGCGGUAGCAGAGCCUAGCACAGGGCUGUUGUCUCAUUGGUGCUGUCCCCAUUGCCCACUGCUGUUCUGGUUUUACAGGUGCAUGACAGGCCUCGGCGUGGCAGCCGGUUGCAUGGCAGUUGGGAUGGGCGAGCAGAGCAGGUGAAGGUGUGGGAGCAAAUGCUUGAUGUGGGUGGGCUGUGGUUUUGCAGGUGUGACCCGAGCGCCUGCUUUCUGUUUGUGUUUGCAAGUUUUGCAGGAAGUUGUGGAGAGGCAAAGUUGAGUGUUGACAAGAGCCUGAGCAGGUCCUGUGUGGGCCUUUCCCAGGCAUGGCUGAGGAUGUCAGGUGAGCAGAUUCCUGAUGGGUGUUGCAGGGUUGGUGAGUAUUGCCUGGCAGAAGAGUCAUUUUGUUUUGCUUUUUCCAGGUGCUGCGGGUGUCCCCCCAAGCACAAUUUUGGAGUUUGGGAUUGGUGUGGUGCAGGUGAGCAGAGCGUCCAUGGCGCUUUGGUGGUGGGCGCUCUUGCGGACGAGGCUGGAGCUGACUGGCCUGGGGGUGACUGCUUGUGCUCUGUUUUGGUAGGUGAUGAAGGUGAAUGUGGUGACCAGAGGAAGAUUAGGGAGGAUGCGGCUGCCAUUGAGGAUGCCUCUUGAAGACAGAUGGUGACCCAAAGCACUGUAGAAGCUAAGUUGAGAGGCCAGGGGUGUUGGUGUGUCUUGACUGUCUGUGUGUGUGUGUGUGUGUACGUGUGUGCUGACAGUGAGUGUAGAGUGGAGGGCUCUUCUGGAUGAGUGCUGUGUGUGAGGCAGAGGCAGUGGGGUGUGCGUGGCAGAAGGUGAGGGUGUGCUAGGCAGGGCAGCUCCAGCCUGUGUUUGUCUUGUUGUGUAGUCUAUGUGGUGCGUGUUGUAGCUGUGCUAUGUUUUGCUCAGGUCUUGAUGUUGCUCUUGUUCCUUGUGCUCAAGGAGUACAGCCCACACUUUGCAGCACUAGUGCGGUAGGCAUCCAUUGUCUUUUGCUUGACCUGACUCAUCAGCUUUGUGCCAAUGGAUGGUGUCUUGUUCAGUGCAGCCAGCUAAAAGGGGUGGUCUGUCACUCUGGCUUUGCAUUGUGGCCAUUUGUGGCUGGUCAUGUCCGUGGCCCUCACUGAGGCCUCGUCGGCCACUCCUCUUCUGAGGCCACCCUCAUUUUGCGUCUUCCUGGUCUCCUUUCAGGGUUUUCUUCCCUGUGUUGUCACAUCCUUAGGUCUUUCUUGCUGGCCUCUUCCGCAUCAAUCUGCCUGGCUUUGCCAGGCCCUUUCCGUCAUGGGCAGUGGCGUUUGACUCUUUUCUGGGCUCAUCCAGAGCAUUAGAGCCACGUGGUUGUGGCCUCAUAGGGCUUUCUGUCCAGCAGUGUCUUACGU